ensembl:lncRNA
GCCUUUCCUUCUCCUUGCUCCUUCCCUGCUAGUACAGUGGAAGCAGAUGUGUUUGCCUUUUACAGUGUUUGUUAUCAAGCUCCAACUGAGUAUGCUGAAUCACAGUGCUGCCUGAACAACCCAGUCUGAAAUACCAUGCUGCCCAUUUGGGAGAGAGAGGAAGCCCAGAUUUUGAGCUGGUGGUCAGAAAACAGGAGACACAGCAUGCCUGGUAGGCUGCACUGCAGUACGAAUCAAGCUUCACGGGUGCUGUCAGCCAUGCACAGCUCCUCCCAGCCAGUCUUGGGACCAAGAGAACAAAUAAAGCCUGUAAACUUCACCUCCCCAGAAACCGAUUUCCAUAUCCACUGAAUGACUUGCUAGCAACAUUAUGGCAAACUGGAUGUGUCCGGUACCUGUCUGCUCAGCACACGUGAUUAACCAACCUGUUCCUUAAUUUCUGCAACAUUUGGAAUGACAGUGCAUUCAGAGAGGAGGGUAAACAAAGCAACAGUUCCCUUUUUCCUCCCUUGAAGACUGUGUAGUGGCCCAUUUUACUGCAAAAACUCUGACCCUUUUAGCAGCCAAACAGAAAUCCAUCUAUCUGAAGCACCUGUAAAUGGCCUUGUCUCAGAGGAACUCUUGGUACAUGAAGCUGAGGACUGCUACUACUGUGAGCUGCAGCUGCCACUUCUCUUGCAAUUCAUAGUUACAAAUGCUCUCCUGAAAAUGGACACUUAAGCCAUUCCUUUCUCACAAAAUACAGACAAGAUCCUCUCCAACAUUCUUGGAGCUCUCACUUGAGGUCUAGACUUCCAAUCCUUCAAAAGUCUGAAGGUAUAUUUUUGACCUCUGCUCUUCCCUAUUUGGAACAAAAUCUUCAGCACUGUGGCCAAGAAUAGAAGCGGCAUUGCUCAGCUCCCAGUUCUAUACUUCAGCCACUGGAUGAUGCUUCCUAACUCCUGACACAGAAAAACUCCUGACACAGAAAAUCACGCAUCUUAAAUACUUACCGUAAUAGAGGAGAUAAUUGGAGAAAGUUGUGGACAAAACUGGGAAAAAAACUUCCUGCAACUGAGAGAUUGAGAAGACAAGAAGACAGAGUUCAGCUGCUGGUCACGCCCUAGAUGGAUGACUCUAGCUCAUUUCCCACAUUUUACAGCGACUGUAAAGAAUGUUUGCUCUCUUUGGUUCUUGAUGUGUUUUAACUGUUUCAACUGCAAGCUUUUUGGGGCAGAGUCUAUUGCUGAUUAUGUUUUUCCACUGUUCAUGAAACUCAGCAAUGACAUAUCUUGAGACUAAACAAAACUCUGUUUUUAUGUCUAAAGGGAUGUCUAUUAUUAAUACUUAUUAAUGUCUAAAGGGAGAAUUCAAUGAAAACAAUCAGGCCCUUUUCAGCGGUGCCCAGUGCCAGUUCAAGAGGCCGCGGACACAGACUGGAACACUAGAGAACACACACUGACUUCUGUGCUGUGUGGAUGACAGAGCACUGGCACAAGCUGCCCAGAGGCUGUGGAGUCUCCUCCUUGAAGAACUUCAAAAGCUGCCUGGACAUAAGCCUGGGCAACCUCCUCUGGGUGUUCCUGCUGGAGCAAGGAUUGGGCCAGAUGAGCUCCAGAGGACUCUUCUCAUCCCAUCCAUGAUGUGAUUUUGUGAUCUUUCUCCAUAUAACAAUUAAGUUCUGUUAAAGACCACUUUCCUGAGCACUCAGCACAUUACUUGUACAUUUGGAAAUCACCAGAAUGCUACAAGAAAAUAUAAUAUAGAUGUAAAACGUGAGUCAAGUGGCUAAAAGGCUAUUAGAGAAAUACUAAACACUGCUGGAACUGUUUCCAAUCAGUCUUACCUUUCAAAAUAUUCUGCUCUUCUUUUGAUACUGCAUGUGAACUUCUUUGACAGCUUUUGCAGUUCAGCUAAAAAAAGUCAUCACUGUGAGAAAAUACUGCACAUGGUGAAGGUACAGUAAUACUGAAGGAAUGUAGAUCUUUUUUUCUCACACAAAUAACCUUCAUAGUUUUAAUUAUGACAUUAGUAGGAUUAUUUAUGUAAGAGAGAAGCUAGGUUGGCAUAUGAACUUAAGAAUUGCACUCACAUUGUAAAAGGGCAAUAAAAAGGACAUUUAAGAUU